CAAGCUCUGGGAGAUGGUGAAGGACAGGGAAGGUUGGUGGGCCUUCAUGGGGUCACAAAAAUUUGGAUGCAACAACAACAAAUAUUUAAUAUCAAUAUUUCUAUAAAGUUUCAAGCAUGCAAAAUCAGGACUUCCCUGGUGGUCCAGUGGUUGGAAAUCUGCCUGCCAAUACAGGGGACACGGGUCCUAUUUCUUCUCUGGGAAGAUUCCACGUGCUGUGGGGCAACUAAGCCUGAGUGCCAUAGUGCUCCUGCAACAAGAAAAGACUUGCAAUGAGACGUCCAUGCACCACAACAAACAGUAGCCCCUGCUCACCACAACUAAAGAAAGCCUGAGCACAGCAACAAGGACCCAGAACAGCCAAAAUAAACUAAAUAAANNNNNNNNNNNNNNNNNNNNNNNNNNNNNNNNNNNNNNNNNNNNNNNNNNNNNNNNNNNNNNNNNNNNNNNNNNNNNNNNNNNNNNNNNNNNNNNNNNNUAAAUAAAUUUUAAAAUAAAUUGAAAAUAAAAAUAAAACAUGCAAAAUCAAAUAUUUUAUCUAUGUAGUACCUACAUUGAUAGUCCAGUAGGUGGUACUUCCCCAGAAAGGCUGCAAGAGUAUUUCUGGUCCCACCUGUUUUCCAGAACCUGCCUACACCCCCAUCAUCAGGUGCAGGCAGUGACCCUGCCCCUUGAAGCAGGUGGGACUUUGUGGCUGCUUUGACUAAUGGACGAUAUAUGACUUUUGAGGCUAGGUGGCCACAGUUCACACAGCUUCUGUGUAGUUUUCUCCUUGGCAACUCAGGUACCAUGCUGUGAGAAAGCCUAGGAAACACGGAGAAGAACCAAGGCCGAGGCCUCUGUCCAACAGCCAGCCAGUUAACGCGUCAUGAAAGAACAUAGAUGCAAAAGGCCCAGGUGUGAAUUACAGCCUGUCUUCUCAAAACACGGGCUGCAAAGGCCAUCUUCCAGGGCAGGCAAUGCUAUUAUCAGGAUGGUUGAAUGUGAAAGGGUCCUACAAAUGUGGUCAUGCGGUGUUUUAAACUGUCUACGACUUCUGCACAAACCCAUCCUGGAGGUCCCUGAGUGCCAAAGCUACCUGCACUCACGUCCGCUACCUGCAAAGCCCCUAGUGGAUCCUUCCUCUGCGGCUGCUGCGACAGAGAUGCUGCCUUACCUGGGGCUUCCACCAACAACAGGUGUCCAUGAGUCGUGCUGUGAAGGAACACAGGGAGGUUUGGCCCUCUGUGUUUCUGCCCUGGAGGUCCAUCUGGGGUCCCCACUGGCCCAUGCACCAGCUGUUACCCCCACACCCGCUGGGGUUGCUGCCUUACCGCUGCUCCCAGGCUGGUGGGACUGAGCCCUCCCCUUCAGCUGGCGUCCUCCCAACCCCACCAAACCAGGAACACCUGUGUCUUCAGCACAUUUAGGUGUAGGGGUUUCACCUGCAGUAAUGCCAGAAUUGUGCAAACUCUGUUCUUAGCCAGACCUUAACUCCCCACAUUUUCUUUGCAUCCUUCCGAGACGUUUCGGUGCCCCCACACACAUUUCUUCCUACCUACCUGCCUUCUUUCCUCCUUUCAGUUGAGUAUUUAUUGGGCCUAACUAUACGCCAGGCUCUGCCUUGGUUCUACAUGGAGAGAAGGAUGCAUGCUUGCCUCACGGAGCUUAUAGUUUUUUGAGUGAUGGAAACAAGCAGAGCAGCAAUUGCAUCCUAAAUGAGAUUCCUGUGCCUUCCCAGGCAGGCUUUUCCCAUCCCACGUGACUCAUCCACUCUUAGUGCCCCUCACAUGGCCUAGAGCCUCCUCUUUAUGGCUUUAUAGUUUUGAGUGCUUUCCCAGAACACCAGGGAGAUUCAUUUUGUAGGCCCAAAGGAGAAGCUCAGAGCAGAAGAAUCAUGAGAAAUAAAUAGAUCAAGGAGAGGAGAGAAAUAUCUCUCAGCAUGAAAUUAACUAGCUGCUUCUUUUCUUACUGCGAUUUACUCUUGGAGCAGAGGCAUCUGUAAGUAGUGAACUGAAGCCAUUCUCUGGAGCAUCCGUGGGGUCCUCCUGUUUGGGGAAGCUUGGGAUUCAUGAGAAUUGAUGACUCAGCAAAUGGAGUUCUGCGCCGGCUCAGAGAAAAGAGCAUCACACAGAUAGGGGCUCAGUAUAUAGUGAUGUACAAGUGCACUUGACUUUGUAAAGCCCAGAUUAGUUUGUGAGGUUGGUCCAGAAGGCACUGGGGAGGUGGGCAGCCCUGGCCUGGAGUGACCAACAAGCCUGCCCAGCUUCUCUUCAUCUACAAGACUGGAGAAGUCAUUCCUCACCACGUGAAAGACAUCAUUGCCUGACUCAUCUGCCUCACAGGCUUCUUUUGAAUGGAAAAUGAAAUAAAACAUGGGAAGGGCCAUACACCAUUUGUGCAGAGAUGCCCUGUGCACCAACAGAUAUAUAGGAAACAUGUUUGGCCAGAAACAUGAAUAAGGAAUCACUUCAGAAUGUAAUUU
rnacentral:lncRNA from 1 species